rnacentral:ncRNA from 1 species
ACAGCCUCAAUGCGUUUAAGAUAAGCUGGCAAUAAAAAAAGCAGAAUCUAUACCCGAUGAUAGGCUUUUUUGUUGUGCUUAUUUAUACGAUAUUGAGCAUUCAUUAGUUACGGUGAGGAUAUUGGUUAUUUAACUAUACCUUUAUUUAACUAUGUCUUUAAUAUGAAUGUUUUCCAAAUUGUAUGUAUGCAGACCAAAAAGCCACAUUGUGGGGUUUUGGCCUGCAUUUUUU